UGGGAAGAAACAGGGUUUUGCUCAGUCU
rnacentral:piRNA from 1 species